rnacentral:rRNA from 1 species
AUUGAACGCUGGCGGCAUGCUUUACACAUGCAAGUCGAACGGUAACAGGCCGCAAGGUGCUGACGAGUGGCGAACGGGUGAGUAAUGCAUCGGAACGUGCCCAGUCGUGGGGGAUAACGCAGCGAAAGCUGCGCUAAUACCGCAUACGAUCUAUGGAUGAAAGCGGGGGACCGUAAGGCCUCGCGCGAUUGGAGCGGCCGAUGUCAGAUUAGGUAGUUGGUGGGGUAAAGGCUCACCAAGCCAACGAUCUGUAGCUGGUCUGAGAGGACGACCAGCCGCACUGGGACUGAGACACGGCCGAGACUCCUACGGGAGGCAGCAGUGGGGAAUUUUGGACAAUGGGCGCAAGCCUGAUCCAGCAAUGCCGCGUGCAGGAAGAAGGCCUUCGGGUUGUAAACUGCUUUUGUACGGAACGAAACGGUCCUGGUUAAUACCUGGGGCUAAUGACGGUACCGUAAGAAUAAGCACCGGCUAACUACGUGCCAGCAGCCGCCGUAA